CGUAAAUUCCCGUUACGAUUAGAAUAAUCGACACCACGAAUAGUUCGAUCCCCUUAUUUCGGUUAGGAUAAUAGGAGUAGUUGUUAAGGUAUAACACUGGCAGUCACAGAGUUAUAAAAAUAUAUAUUUCCAACACUUUAUACAAUCACACAAAGUAGUAACGCCGUUGAUUAAGAUACAGAUAACGAAGAGAAGGAUUAUUCUUAGAUGAGAGAAGGAGAGCUAUAGGAGCUCUAGGCCCUUGAGAGCUGUAGGAGCUGUCGGACUUCUGGAUACUGUGAGAGCCGUAGGAGACUCUAGGCCCUUGAGAGCUGUAGGAGCUGUCGGACUUCUGGAUACUGUGAGAGCCGUAGGAGACUCUAGGCCGUGUAGG
rnacentral:misc_RNA from 1 species